GGGGGAGUAGCUCAGCGGAUAGAGCAGUGGCCUUCUAAGCCAAAGGUCGAGGGUUCGAGUCCCUCCUCCCCCGCCA
rnacentral:tRNA from 1 species